AAGGUACGAAUAUUGACAGUUAAACCAUCACCACUUCCACAGCCACCUUGUCUCAAGCAUUCAAUUGCAUUCUAAGAUAUCUUUAUUCAAAUCAAGUGUGACUACUAUACCAAAAGACUGUAGAAUGGACCAAUCAACUAACCCAUCAGUAUUUGCAAAGUCUCCUUUUCUGUUAGCCUGAAGACUGAGUUCUAAAAUACAAUUAUUCACAUAACUACUAUAUCAAAGCACAAACUAAUGGAUUGAUCAAAAAAGAGAUUGUAUGACUUCGGUAUCCGCAAUACGGUAUCGUGCAUUGGUUUCCAUCUUAGAAUGGCUCCCUUCCGUAUAGGUGGAAAUAGGAAAGGUUAUGUCCUUUUUUCUACAAAGAAGCUUAAUCGGUUCAAGCAAAGAUGAUGAUGAUUAUUAUGAAGCCGA